GUCCUACGGGCGGCUGCAGUGGGGAAUAUUGGACAAUGGGGGCAACCCUGAUCCAGCCAUGCCGCGUGAGUGAUGAAGGCCUUAGGGUUGUAAAGCUCUUUCACCGGGGAAGAUAAUGACGGUACCCGGAGAAGAAGCCCCGGCUAACUUCGUGCCAGCAGCCGCGGUAAUACGAAGGGGGCUAGCGUUGUUCGGAAUUACUGGGCGUAAAGCGCACGUAGGCGGACAUUUAAGUCAGGGGUGAAAUCCCGGGGCUCAACCUCGGAACUGCCGUUGAUACUGGGUGUCUUGAGUAUGGAAGAGGUAAGUGGAAUUGCGAGUGUAGAGGUGAAAUUCGUAGAUAUUCGCAGGAACACCAGUGGCGAAGGCGGCUUACUGGUCCAUUACUGACGCUGAGGUGCGAAAGCGUGGGGAGCAAACAGGAUUAGAUACCCUUGUAGUC
rnacentral:rRNA from 1 species